rnacentral:snRNA from 1 species
AUCAAUACAUGGGACAUCUGAUAAAAUUAGAACGAUACAAAGAAGAUUAACAUGGCCCCUGUACACGGAUGACACGCACAAAUCGAGAUAAAAAAUACAUAAUC